AUGUUGAUUGGCUACUUGCAGCUGCAGUCGGUUCCUGCUGUAACAGCUCAGAGUCUCUGCAGUCUGACUGAGGGAGGUUUUUUGCAGGAGGUUUUUGUACGGCCACUUAAUGAGUUUGUAUCACUGUGGUGGACUUUUGGUGGAGGAACCAAACUCACCGUUGACUUGGGUGUGGUGCGGCCCACCCUGACCGUCCUCCCCCCCUCCAAAGAGGAGGUGCAGCAGGGCAGUGCCACACUGCUGUGUCUGGCCAGCGGGGGCUCUCCCUCAACCUGGAGGCUGGACUGGAAGGUGGGGGGCAGCAGCAGCAGCUCCUCAGAGGUGUCACACAGCCCGGAGGUCCUGGGGAGGGACGGCCACUACAGCUGGAGCAGCACCCUGAGCCUCUCUGCAGACCGCUGGAGGAAGGCGGGCUCAGUGAGCUGUGAGGCCAGUCUGAAUGGACAGACCCCUGUCACUCAAAGCCUGGACCCUGACCGCUGCUCAGAGUAGAGCUUCAGCAACACUUCCUGUCUGGAAAUGAUGCUUCUUUUUCUUUGCUCCAG